rnacentral:rRNA from 1 species
AACGAACGCUGGCGGCAUGCCUAACACAUGCAAGUCGAACGAGACCUUCGGGUCUAGUGGCGCACGGGUGCGUAACGCGUGGGAACCUGCCCUUAGGUUCGGAAUAACUCCCCGAAAGGGGUGCUAAUACCGGAUAAUGUCUUCGGACCAAAGAUUUAUCGCCUUUGGAUGGGCCCGCGUUGGAUUAGCUAGUUGGUAGGGUAAAAGCCUACCAAGGCGACGAUCCAUAGCUGGUCUGAGAGGAUGAUCAGCCACACUGGGACUGAGACACGGCCCAGACUCCUACGGGAAGCAGAAGUGGGGAAUAUUGGACAAUGGGCGAAAGCCUGAUCCAGCAAUGCCGCGUGAGUGAUGAAGGCCUUAGGGUUGUAAAGCUCUUUUACCCGGGAUGAUAAUGACAGUACCGGGAGAAUAAGCUCCGGCUAACUCCGUG